CAGCGGCCCUAGUGGUGAUCGUUAUUAUUGGGCCUAAAGCGUCCGUAGCCGGUUCGGUAAAUCUCUGGGUAAAUCGUUGGGCUUAACUCAACGAAUUCUGGGGAGACUGCCGAACUUGGGACCGGGAGAGGUCGGAGGUACUCCAGGGGUAGGGGUGAAAUCCUGUAAUCCUUGGGGGACCACCGGUGGCGAAAGCGUCCGGCCAGAACGGGUCCGACGGUAAGGGACGAAGCCCUGGGGCGCGAACCGGAUUAGAUACCCGAGUAGUCC
rnacentral:rRNA from 1 species